rnacentral:rRNA from 1 species
UACAGAGGGUGCAAGCGUUAAUCGGAAUUACUGGGCGUAAAGCGUGCGUAGACGGUUGCGUAAGUCAGAUGUGAAAGCCCCGGGCUCAACCUGGGAAUUGCAUUUGAGACUGCGUAGCUAGGGUGCGGAAGAGGGAAGCGGAAUUUCCGGUGUAGCGGUGAAAUGCGUAGAUAUCGGAAGGAACACCAGUGGCGAAGGCGGUGGUCUGGGCCGGAACUGACGCUGAGGAGCGAAAGCGUGGGUAGCAAACAGG